GGCCGUGCCGGUUGCGUCAACCGCGGGUGACCAAGGCGUGCCGCAUCUGCGGCGUGUUACCGUGCUUCGAGCAACCAGAGGUGUUCUAUGACGCGGCUUGAGUGUGAUCGGCGAUUGUUCUCUUUGCGCGCCAGCGAUCACUUUACGUUACACCUAGAAGCAAUACUCCUCAGCUGCCUGAAACAGACUGCUUGUUUUUGUACUCGGACAAGAGGGCCCUGCGGCAGCAGUGGAUGAUCGUGGCAAAACAAUGCAAAUGCACUAAUAAGCAUAUAUUUGUGAGUGGGAGGCAGAAGGCUGACCGAGAAGAAUUUUUCAAUGAGAUUGAAGUGAUCAGAGCAGAAGAUAUGCAGUCUGUCACUAUCGCAGAGCCUUCUCCAACUGGAACAGCAGUGACAUAUUAAGGUGCUGUCGAUGGCAGUGUUGUGAGGUCUGAAUGGGAUGAUGCCACACCUGCUCACUUUUAGACUGAUGCUUACGCUGAGUUGGAUAAAAUAUUAAAAACCAUUAAUCUGAAUGUGAG